rnacentral:rRNA from 1 species
UGCAGUCGAGCGGAUUUGUUCCUUCGGGGACAAGUUAGCGGCGGACGGGUGAGUAACACGUAGGCAACCUGCCUUCGAGACUGGGAUAACUAUCGGAAACGAUAGCUAAGACCGGAUAGCUGGUUUUCUCGCAUGGGAGAAUCAUGAAACACGGAGCAAUCUGUGGCUUGAAGAUGGGCCUGCGGCGCAUUAGCUAGUUGGUAGGGUAACGGCCUACCAAGGCGACGAUGCGUAGCCGACCUGAGAGGGUGAACGGCCACACUGGGACUGAGACACGGCCCAGACUCCUACGGGAGGCAGCAGUAGGGAAUCUUCCGCAAUGGACGCAAGUCUGACGGAGCAACGCCGCGUGAGUGAUGAAGGUUUUCGGAUCGUAAAGCUCUGUUGCCCUAGACGAACAGCAAGGCGAGUAACUGCGCUUUGUGUGACGGUAUAGGAGAAGAAAGCCCCGGCUAACUACGUGCCAGCAGCCGCGGUAAUACGUAGGGGGCAAGCGUUGUCCGGAAUUAUUGGGCGUAAAGCGCGCGCAGGCGGUUCGUUAAGUUGGGUGUUUAAGCCCGGGGCUCAACCCCGGUUCGCAUCCAAAACUGGCGGACUUGAGUGUAGGAGAGGAAAGUGGAAUUCCACGUGUAGCGGUGAAAUGCGUAGAGAUGUGGAGGAACACCAGUGGCGAAGGCGACUUUCUGGCCUAUAACUGACGCUGAGGCGCGAAAGCGUGGGGAGCAAACAGGAUUAGAUGCCCUGGUAGUCCACGCCGUAAACGAUGCAUACUAGGUGUCGGGGAUUCGAUUUCUCGGUGCCGAAGUCAACACAGUAAGUAUGCCGCCUGGGGAGUACGCUCGCAAGAGUGAAACUCAAAGGAAUUGACGG